GAUCAUGGCUCAGGACGAACGCUGGCGGCGUGCUUAACACAUGCAAGUCGAACGCUGAAGCUCAGCUUGCUGGGUGGAUGAGUGGCGAACGGGUGAGUAACACGUGAGUAACCUGCCCCCUUCUUUGGGAUAACGCCCGGAAACGGGUGCUAAUACUGGAUAUUCACUGAUCUUCGCAUGGGGGUUGGUGGAAAGGUUUUUUCUGGUGGGGGAUGGGCUCGCGGCCUAUCAGCUUGUUGGUGGGGUGA
rnacentral:rRNA from 1 species